UACGUAGGGUGCAAGCGUUGUCCGGAAUUAUUGGGCGUAAAGAGCUCGUAGGCGGUUUGUCGCGUCUGCUGUGAAAACUCGGGGCUCAACUCCGAGCUUGCAGUGGGUACGGGCAGACUAGAGUGCGGUAGGGGAGACUGGAAUUCCUGGUGUAGCGGUGGAAUGCGCAGAUAUCAGGAGGAACACCGGUGGCGAAGGCGGGUCUCUGGGCCGUAACUGACGCUGAGGAGCGUAAGCAUGGGGAGCGAACAGG
rnacentral:rRNA from 1 species